GACGUAGGGUGCGAGCGUUGUCCGGAAUUACUGGGCGUAAAGAGCUCGUAGGUGGUUUGUCGCGUUGUUCGUGAAAACUCACAGCUUAACUGUGGGCGUGCGGGCGAUACGGGCAGACUGGAGUACUGCAGGGGAGACUGGAAUUCCUGGUGUAGCGGUGGAAUGCGCAGAUAUCAGGAGGAACACCGGUGGCGAAGGCGGGUCUCUGGGCAGUAACUGACGCUGAGGAGCGAAAGCGUGGGGAGCGAACAGG
rnacentral:rRNA from 1 species